rnacentral:lncRNA from 1 species
CACCGUAGUAGAAGCCGGAAGUCCCUGCUAAGCUAACAUCAACAAAAACAAUAAACCAGCGCCAAAGUGUAAAAAAAAUGAGUGUUACUGAGUUGGGAAAUGACGGAGAGCAGCCGAAGCUUACAAGUAACGAAUCCCGCUGCAUAUUCUUUAACACAGACUCAGAGGACUACCAUUGUGUGGUGAUCUUAGCAGUCAGACGAGCAACGGGAACCUUUUCUUUGAUAGGAUGCUUGUUCAUGCUGUUUGUGAUCUGGCUGCUGCGGAGGUAUCACUCUUUGGCCCAGAAGAUGAUACUCAGUUUGACUGUGGCUGCCCUCUUUGACAGUGUAGCAUAUGUCAUGGGGGAAUCUCAUCCACAGGGAUCUCUGUGUAGCUUUCAAGCCUGGUGGCUGACAUACUUUGACUGGAGUGCCUUGGUUUGGGUUUGCCUGAUCACACUGAACCUGUACCUGAACCUGGUUAGAGAGAUAAGCACCAUUAGAUAUGAGAUGUUGUACCAUCUGAUGGCGUGGGGUGUGCCUUUGGUCAUGGCCUCUUUGCCGCUGCUCAAGGGUUAUUACGGCCCUGCAGGACCCUGGUGCUGGAUCACAGCCGAUCACGUAGCCUGGAGAUUUGGGAUGAAACAUAAGAGGCUGACCCUCCUCAGUCGACCUUUGAUGUGCUUCCGUACAAAAGCAGUUGAGCAGGUGAUAAUUUUUUCACUGGCGUCAUCUUAUGGGUCGAAGCUGGCAGUCGCAGCUGAGCUACAUCCCGUGAAGAUGAGUUCCCGGCUUGCUCUCAUCUUUUAA